rnacentral:tRNA from 1 species
GGUGUUUUGGCCGAGCGGUCUAAGGCGCUAGCUUAAGGUGAAGCCCGCAAAGGCAGACCCGCUAGUCCGAAAGGGCGUGAGUUCGAAUCUCACAGACAUCA